CCCCAUUCCCCUGCCUUACUGGGAGCACAUGGCAUGGAGCUGUGUUCCUGUCUGCUUCCACAGGGAUGUAAGUAGGUCUGUGGACCUUUGCCCAACUUCAGUCCACUCUUAUGGAGUGAGAUAACAAAGAGAUGUACUGCUUACCUGUUAGGGGUGGUGGGGUGUGUAUAGCUGGCGUGUCUUUUCUCCUUGGCUUUUUUUGCUCCUGUUCAGCGUUUUGGGAAGGCUGGAUAGUUUUACCUUUUCUUGGUUUCUUUUUGAGAUCACAGCUCUUAAUCAGCUGUUCUGAAAGAUCUUCUGCACGACAGAAAAAAGAGAAAAGAUGAGUAGAAAGUGAAGCAGAGGGGAAAUAAUAAAACAGAUGGUGAAAAGAAAAGCUUUAAUAAUACAGCUUUCAUCCAGGAAGACUGAAAUGACUGUGGAGAAAGAACUCCUAAAUAUGAAGUCAGUACAAGAGGCCUCUGUGCCAUACUAUGUGGGAGCUGAGUGACUUUGGUGGUCCUGCUUUGUAGGUGGUAGGCAUAAAGCAGGGGGGGAAGCUGUGGGCAGCGGUGUGCUACACGGCUGAGGAAAGCUGCACCAUCAUGCAGAGGGCCAUCGUUGUCCCGCUCAGCUCUAACUGUGGGGCUGUUUCUUCAAGAGUUACAAGGGCACUUCUGUGAGGGAAAGAUUUAUCUGUGUGAGGUCAGUCGGAGGGCUUGUCUUUAAUGAGCCAGACGGUGGGCAUGGAUUUUUUGCAAGGAUCUGCAUUUCUGGGUGCUCAUGCAAGCUGAAAAAGUUAAGUAUAGCCUGUCAUUAGCAUCGUUAUGCAAACCAGAGCUUUGAUUUCUCAAAUGUUUCUUGCUUGGCUUCAGCGUGGUCCCCCAGCCCUGUGGACAGUCUCCCGAAUAACCAUCCUGGAAGACGCAGACUAUUUUUUCAGCCCUUCGAGACUUCCUGAAUGGUAUUAAUGAGCUCAUUUUACCUCCUACUGCCUCCAUUUCCCAUCUGUGCAGGGGGGCUCGUUCUGUACUUAUUUAAAUAAGAAAUGUUGUGGAACAAUUAUGUUGAGUACACCAGCAAUUGUAGAAGUGGUGCCUUUGGCUAGAAGCUUUGUGGCAGAGAGACAGGACAAGGACACCUUCCUUGCAGGGCAGACCAAGAAAGUUUAAAAAUUCUGCUGGCCUAACACUUUUUUUUUGACAAACACCUGAAAUUGUAUUAUUUUCUUAUUGCCGUUGCAAGGCUAAAAAAUGAGCAAAUAGUUUUUGGUUUCUGGGCUUCUGAAUCUGUAUGAUGAUUUUGCCAGGCUACAGUGAAGUAAUAGCAUUUGAAACUGAGGCAAAGAUCAUGAAUAUACAAAAAGCACAUCUAUCAAGUGUGAAGUCUGGUAUAUGGGUAUAUGGUGGAGCAAAGAAAUCUCUGGUACUGUCAGUGCAAAAGUUAACAAGUGACAUAGGUUCAGAGAGGAAACAAACUGAAAAUGAAGAAGAAAAUGUACUUAGCCCACUCCAUUAGAGGAAAAGGGGGGUAUUUAAAAUCUGUUACUUAAAUUGCAUGUAGAGUACAUAUUUAGGAAAGAUCCAGCUAUACGGCUUCAGUUUAUUGUUGUACAAAUGAAGAAAGUGCUCUAUUUUUCUACCAGAGAAAAGAACAGUGAGUUUUUCAUUUUUCCUCAUUAAUUAACUUUGUUCUAGAGGUUCAGCUAAUAUUUAUAUGCAAGAAAGAAAAGCACUCUUUGCCUUUCCAUCUGGCAUCAGAAAUGUCAGCAGAAGGUGUAAUCUAUCGGGUUUCACGAGGACUCGGUUCUACUGCUGGAGGGGAAAAACAGCAACUGGACAGGACCUAAUGAUGUGUAGACAACACCUCUCCGAUUUCUGCAAUGACAUCAUCUAAUAACACUUACCUAAAUGGUUGCAGUGUGAAUCUCGCUUGUCCAGUCUGUCUUCUGGGAUAUCGAGUGGCUGAACACAUUCUGUUGACAUCAUUGAAAUGGGUUUUUUCUCCCCCUUUGAAACUACAGCACCAAAAAAAAAAAAAAAAAAAAAAAAAAAAAAAAAAAAAAAAGGAAAGCAGCAGCAUGACAUAAAACAGACAUGUUGGUGUUAUGUAUCCACUUGCAAGCCAGAUUGGUGGGAGCUCUUGUCUUCCAGCUGCUUUCUGUCAUACAGUCUGCUGACCUGAUUUUGCCCAAGCAUGCUAAGAGAUGCAUAUAUUCACAGUCUUUGUAUGUGCUAUUCCACUUUUCCACCUUCAUUGCUGUAUGUGGCCCACAGAAGUACAGAAAAUAUGUUGGCUCUACAGAAGGAUAUUGACUUUAAUCAUUCAGAAAGUGCUAUCACAUACAGAAAGUAAAUGCUUGGAAAUAGAAUAUUUUCUGAUUUUCUUCCAUGUUAUAUUCUCAACUGUAAACUAAUUGUCAUAAUUGGUGUUUACUAUGCAAUCUAACUUUAAUUAUGAAUGCUGAAGAGUUAUUUUUACAAUUUCAAUUCCUCUAAAAGAUACUCCCAAGGACCCAGAUGUGAGAACUGACUCUGGAAGUCAGCCAGCAUCCACAGGCUCUGGAGCCAGCAUGAAGAAUGCAUCCUCAUGGCCUUGGUAGGAGCAGUGGGGACUCAUGUCAUAAGGCUGCUUAAGUGCCCGUGGUCUAUAGAUCUCUGUGGAUUGCUAUUUUCUUCUUAAAGGUUUUUUAUCCCCUCUUAUGCAGAAGUGUAGAAGGCCCCGUAGUCCAGCUUCCUACCUGAGAAUCCCCAGCAUUCCCCACUGAUAUGAAGCUUUGAUGCUUUGAAACUACCAGAUGUGAGUUUCCUGCUCACAAACUCUGUUCUCUGGAAUAAUAGCAGUCUGACUUCCUUGUAGGGAAAAGGAAAGCAGUGAGGAAGAGAAUCAGCAAGAGACUGCAUCAACAGUAGAAGAAAUUGGGAAAAAAUGGAGGAAAGGAGAGGGAGGUGAAGAAGAAAAAAUAAAUAACAGAGAAAGGUGACAGAAAAUGCAAUCAGAGAAAACCAGGAAGGAGGAGGACAGGAUGAGAGAACAGGAGACUGUACUGGUUCUCCCCACAGAAAGCUUUGCCUUGCUCACAAAUAUGCUUCCACACUGCACACUGUUAUAAAAGAACACAAAGAAAGAAUGAUCAGAAUGCGUGAAUUUGUGAACUGGCCCUUUGUAAAGUUUCCAUAAACUCUGCUUUUGAGGACCUCAGUAAACCAUCUACUGCUGUCUAAUGUAGACAAGUGGUCCUUUGAUGUAUUUGCACUAAAUGAUGCCAGUGGAGAUCAUGCACUGAAAUUCAUUUUCUAUGAACUUCUCGCAUGCUAUGAUCUGAUCAAUCGCUUCAAGAUCCCCAUUUCUGCCCUGGUGUCCUUUGUGGAAGCUCUGGAGGUUGGAUACAGUAAACACAAAAAUCCUUAUCACAACCUAAUGCAUGCUGCAGAUGUGACACAAACAGUCCAUUACCUCCUCUUCAAGACAAGCAUAAUAGUACGCACAGGAGUUGGCAUCCUUAAUACAUCAUGAGAUUACAGUAGUUUUUGUUUGGUAAGGAGGAUAUCAUUAUCCACACAGAACCCACUUGUACUGUAGAAAAAGUGUAGUUUGCAAUGUCUGUGCUAAUGCAAGUAGACAUUUGGGAUUAUUUAGAAGAAUUUGGGUGAGGAUUUGGGUAACUGUUUUAAUUUAUUGGAGAGAGGAUGAGUGAAAAACCCAAGCUGAAUUCUCCCCUCUGCCACCGAUCUCCUGGCUGAGUCCAUCAAGUCAGUUUGUUGAAAUUUUACUUCACUUUCUGUGAAGAAACAAAUCUCCUAAGCUUUCUUCACACUUAAAGGAGCAAGGCAAUACCUCCAAAAGACAAUUCAUUCCAAUUAUCUGGGGAUAACAAGAGCCAUUUUCUCGCCAUGCUGAUUUCCAGCCAGUUUUUACAGCAAAACCAGCUGAACUAGCUUAUAAUAAAACUGAGCACAGUGGAAGUUUGACAACAAUGACAGGAGUGGACAGAAGGCUUAAAUCAACAGAAAUAAGUCCAUUCCCACAAUGGCUGUCAAAAUAAACAACAGAAAUAUGUUUGAAGUUGUACUAGACAGCUUAAAGAAAGAUAGAUUCUGGAGUGGCUAAGAAACAUUACCGUUUGGGUUCAGAUGGUGGCUUAGGAAAGUUAUUAACCCAUUCAUUUGAUAGAGUAGGUGAUAGUGAACACUUACUAACUGGAGGUUCUAUUUCUUAUUCUCUUCCUCUUUUACUCCAAGUUACUUCCAAAACCAGAAAAUGGAAUGAAACUUUUAGUUUAACCCAGUUUGGCACCUCUUUGUAACCUAUUGCUCACCAUUUUCUAGCAAUGUCCCUGAGACUGGUUGGGCACUGUCUUCUGUGUCGCCUUGGCCCUGGUGGAGGUGGAUCCACUUCCAUCAGUUACUGUUCGUCUGGAGGUGCAUCCACCUCCAUUGGCUCUUCUUCAUUUUGAGGUUCAUCCACCUCCAUAGGCUCAACUGGAUCUUCAUCUACCUCCAUAGGCUCUUCUUUAAAUCUUCUCCCCAUCAGCAUUAGCUUCUUCUGUGGAGGAGGAUCCAUUACUAUUCCUUAGAAGGAGCACUUGUCUUUGGCUUCUGGUUUUCUCCUCUCUGCAACCAGUAUGGCAGUUGCACAGCUUGGAACGCCAGGUGGUAACAUCAGCAGGCCGUGAUGUGGUAACUCUAACAGUGUUCCAUGGCAACCCAGACAUGGCAGUGCUUGGAGUCGUGGCCUAUGGCCUGAGAGUUGCCCCAGUUUUGAAGGAGAAGGAAGGAUAGCGGGUACUGAGGGACCCUUUUCUGGGAAGGGCUCACCUGUGCCAUUUUGCUAGAGAGAACUUGUGGCCCUUGGGCAAAGGGCCCCUGGAGACUCCAGCCCCUUCUUCACCCUGUGCCUCAAAUCCAUUUGUACUGAUGAGUGGCAGGAUCAGCCAGGAGAGUCCUCUACCUGGCAGCUGCCUGGCUGCCUGCAAGUGGAGCCACCCUGUUGCCCAAGAGUAGUGGAGAGGGGACAAAGUGUACUAACAAUCCUCAGGCAGCCUAGCGACAUGCAAUCAAUAAAGAAUUGCUGAAUUUCAAAGGUGAUGUGAGUUCUCUUUUCAUGUCCUUCACCCUUGUCCCUGGAGCAUGAAGGAAGUAGCAUUUCUGCUGCUCUGGUGUGGGCUUGGUGUCUCUCAUCCUUCCACCACUGAACACCUAUGAGCACCUCCUCAGCCCUGAUGGAUGUGGAUUCAUUUCUCUUUAUCUGGAGGUGGAUUCACCUCUCCAGGCUCUUUGUCAUCCUCAUCCACCUCUAUCAGCUCCUCAUCAAAUCUCCUCCCCAUGAGUUGCUCUGUGACUGUUGUACCAGUAAGAGUGUGGGGGGGUGCUUGAGGACCCCUUUUCUGGGAAUGGCUCAUUUGUGCCUUUUUGCUUUCCAGAUAGAAUGUCUGGACUGGUACAGAGACGUGUGGAGGGUUCAGCCCCCUCCUCAUCCCAUAUUUGUGUUCUCCUCACCAAGAUGGUGCCAAGAGUGUCCUUGGGGGUCAAGUGGACUCCACUAACACCCAGCUGCCUGGCUAACUGAAGUGCAGCCACCCUGGUGCCUGGCAGUAGUGAUGAGGGGACAAAGCAUAACACUCUGUAGGCAGCCAAGGGAAAGGUAGUCAAAGAAUCAUAGAAUAUCCUGAGUUCCUUCAGCCUGCCCUGGGAAGCCAUGUGGACUCCCAUCAGGCUUUUCUUCUCUAUGCUGAAAAAAUCAAGGCACCUCAGUCACUUCUCAUAUGUCUUCCCUUCUAGAUCCUUCUCCAUCUUUGUAGCCCUUCAUUAGACAUAUGUCCUUCUAAUAUCGUGACACUCACAUCAGUGCUGGCUACAGAAGACAGAGGGUGAUAGUUCAAGGAAGUAGUCUCCUACACGUAAUGUCUUUGCUGAUUCAUUCUGAAUGUCAUCACUGAACAAUGUCUAAUAUAAGUCCCUACUUGGUCAGCUGACUAGCUUAGUCCAAGUCCUGAUGGCUUAGAAUUUCUGUCUUCUUCUCAUCAUGGUAUGCUUUUGAAGAAAGUAAUUUGUUCAUUUUUUUAUUGUAUUUCUUUUUUUUUUAAUGUCUGUAGAAUUUAUCUAUAUAGUCCGUAUAUAUAUGUUUCGGAUAUUAUCAUUUUUAGUGCUGAGAAUUUUUUUAGAAAACUGUUAUACUCAAUUAAGUAGGUGCAAAAAAGAUAUUAAAGAGAGACCUAUAUUGUGUUGACCAACGAUGAACAUAAAAACAUCUUCCAAUUAAUGUACAGGCAGCUUAUUUGACUGCCUCUGUUCAUAGCAGCUUACUUAAAAGAACCCACAGAACAGUUCUGUACUGGGUUACUGAGGGAAGGUGUCAGAGCAAGAGCAUUCUGUCCUCUUUAAGUACCAGGAUUUUUUUUGCAGCUGACUGACAGCUGCCUUGCUUGUGAGCUCUUGAAGAGUGUUAGCAGUGCUAACAGUUGAGGGGAAACAAGGAAAUGUUGCAGUUCAUGGAGGAUAACUGAGAAAUCAGUAAUCUAGGGCAAGUAUUGGAGGAGUUGCAGAGUGGUAGCAUGGCAGUUGAAUGCUAUUUCUAGUAGCACAACGGACUAUGUUUCUGAUACAGCUACUGCAAUCAAAUAGUGACUACUGACAGCAGACAUAUGAGGUGUACAACAUUUUCUUCAUCCCCUAUCUCUCAACUUUCAUAUUCUUAGUUCAGCCCUCAGAGCAAAACAAAGUGGAGAAGUCAUAAUAGUCCUUGCUUGGUUUCUAUUGCUAAGCAAAAUAUUGCCUUCUAGUCAGAGUAGGAUGGUGUCUGCUGUCUGGGAUGAUCUUUUUCAUUAUAGGUGAUGAUACAAAGGAGAUUGGAUGAAACAUUUCAAAAGGAGAAAAUGAACCAAAUCCUCACGCUAGAUAGUAUUUGUACAAGCAGCUCUGCUUCCACUGAAACCAAGUCUAAAUCAUCCCUUAAUUUCAGUGCCUCCGUUUCAAAUUUGUAAUUCUAAUACCAAAAGGGUGUGUUAGUCAUUAAUAUUUUAUCCAUUCUUACAGUGUCAACAGAGCUAAGCCCAGCUGAAGGUUGGCAGCAAGCUGCUGAACACUAAGCCCAGAAUGUGUACAUUACAUUUCAUUCAUUAGAGCCAUAUAAGUUGUUGCUUCAUGUAGGAUUUGUGUAAAAACUUGUGCAGAUUCCUUAUCCACAGAAGCUUGCUCCAAGCAAGUUGUUAAGCUCAUUAACAGGGCAGAAGAAAGAUUGUGCUCCUAUAAUUUCCAGUUCAAUUAUUACAGACUGCAUAAAAUCCUAAUUCUUCUGUAGUCCAAGGAAAAACUCCCACUGGUUUAAUGGGACCAAGAUGGCAUAAAGUUAAUUUCCCAAUACAAUGUAGAAACCAGAAACUCUCCCAGAAGAGUGACUUCAAUGGAGUCUGGACCUCAGGGGACAAAACUGUUUUCUCAGAGAGGCAAAUGCUGUACCUUACCGUUAGAAUAAGGAGCAUUGCUGCAAUAUGCAGAAAAAGUUCUCAGUUUUAUCAACUGAUUUCCAUUAUGUACACGGAGUUUUGGCCUCAUGAGAACAAUCUGGGCAAUUAUUCUGUCUUUGAGGGCAAUCAUACACAUAUUCACUUACAGCAAAAUUAUAUAGGCCCAUAAGGCACUGGAGAAUGUCUUUUUUAAAGUAAUAUUCAUAGUGAAGAGAACACACUUGUUUUAUGUGAAGAGAACAACACUGGAGUAAUUUUAUAUACAUGGGUGUUUGUAGACUCAGUAUUCAAAGGUCAGUAUAUAUUUCAGCUAUGUUAAUAAAGACCAUUUCAUGGAGUGCCCAACUAUCAAAUGGCCCUUUUCCUGUAGUUUAAUUAAAUGCUCAUUCUUUGGUAGGUUAUCAGUGGUGAAACACCAGAACAAUAACUGCUAAUAUCAGGAAAUUGGCAUAGGCGGGUGAAAGCUGUUUCUCUUACAAUAGUCCUGUGGGACCACAGAGGGGUUCUUUUUGUUCAGCAUAGAGAGGAAAUUAUUAACACAGAACAUAAUGUAAAGGGUGUUCAGACCUUUCAGCAAGUAGGCUUUGAGAACAAACUGAACCUCUUUUUUCAUUACAUAAGCUCUUAUCCACCAAAUAUAUGAAGCACAUUUCAACCAAACAUCGUGAGUUUCCAGCCUUAAGCAAAACUCCAUGAAGUGGGAGAGUAGCAAUGGAGUGCCCAUCUUCUCUUUCUCCUUUCACAGUUCCCAUACUUGUGGUGGGAGAGCAAGAUUUUUCGGGGCUGGCCUGCAGUUUCUGAGGAGCAGGACCAAUUCCCCCUCCUUAGCUAGUACAGGAUAGUACAGUACCUCCAUGGGGUACAGAAGCAUUUGUGAAACCUAUUCUUUAACCAAAAUGGGGAAAUUUGGGAAGUCAUCUCUAUCAGACAGGGUGUCUGAUGUGAAUCUCCUGUGAAUCCUGUGAGAUCCUUGGACUGUUGUUGGCUCUUGUGGGCUGGCACCCAUGUAGGUGCUAGGGGAUCUGUAUAUAUAUAGCUAAGCACAGGACUGCACAAAAAUAAUGAGAAAGUAGCUUCUUACUCUAACUUAACUGCAUUGACUCCUGCUAGGAGUCAUAGUAAAAAGCAGUCAAACUGCUUUUAGUUUCAAAAGUCAUGAGUUUAUUUAUUUCUCCCUCUCCUGAGCCUUUUUUGUUCAUAUACACACAAACAUCACACCAGUCUGGCAUAGUGCUGCGGCAUUAUUCUAUAUAAAAAUACUUAAUUUUAGCCAGAAGCGCAGGAUUAUUUUUUGCUAAUUAAUUCUGAAAAUUAUUCACUUCAGACAACUUGCUCUCCCUUUUGGCAGUCCACAGGCAGUGUGAAAGUGGUGCUAAAUCACACUUCUUCACAUUUUACAGAAGGGCCUAAAUGAGAAAAGCCAACUAGCUGCUUCUGUGUCGUGCCUGGCCUAGUUAUGGGUACCUUUUAUUUAUACCCUACCAAGAUAUAAAUAAUAAUGCAAUGAUUGAAAACAUCAGGCCUUCCUCCAUGUCAUAAAAUUGGGAAGAGGGAAUAGUUUUGUGUGGUUAUUGAUUUCCAGCUGCUUAAUUGGUGUUUACAAUAUCUCUCCUUGAAAAUAGCCAUGUGUGUUUCAUUCCCUACUUGCUUGUUUAAUUUAAUUUAAUCAAUUGUUACACACCUGUUUCCACUUACUUAAAACAAGAAUUAUCUACAGCGUAACAAAUAUGAAGAAACAUUAAAAGCAACUAAUCUUUAUCUUUGUAAUGUUGUUCUUGGAAUGGCAUAAUUAGGAAUCUAAGCAAUAAAAAUAAUCAGAUAGCAAGUUGAUACAUUAAAACACCAGCAGACGUGUGAGCCUUUGUUUAAACUAUAUGGACAAAUUUGAAGAUAGCUGUGGAAAGAGAAUAAAUAUGACUUUUAAAACCUGUCAUUGGAGAUUGUUGGAAAAAAAAACUUUUUUUUUCCUCCUAGAAGGGAUACUGUAUUACUAAAUGCUGUGAAGAGACAGCUGCAGAGGAUAUGCAGCAGAUUUUUCACAAGCCAAACCAAAGAGAGAUGAGUAAGAUCCUUGUUCAUUUUAUCAUGUACUUUAUGCCCAAGCACAAUUAAUACUAUACCUUGCUUACUCUGUUAGUAAGGUAGCUGCAUAUGCAGCUAAGUUCCUAGACCUCUUAACAAGACUCAAAACCAACAAGACAAUUAAAAAAAUAAAUUAGCUCCUUAAAUCUUAUUUUUCAUUUAAUGAUUUCUGAGCUCUUCUUGGUGCCAAGAAAGCUGACU